rnacentral:lncRNA from 1 species
UACUUAGUUACAUCAUUGUGGUUUGUGGCCUCUGUUGUUUUCCUUUUCCUUUACAGGUACACCAGGCAAGUUCUCCUAAUGCCUGGCCCUCAGGGAAGCUUAUAGAGUGAGGCAAUUUGGAAAACCCUGUUUUGGAACUGAGUUGCUCCUCAAUAGCUCCCCAUGGAAGAAGGAUUCCUAGUACUGUACAUCACUGGCACACAACUUGGUCUGGAGUGAGGACUGUGGCUUCCUUCUUGAGGCACUCUGACCCAGGAGAUUCACAGACUGGAGCACCAGUCUUAGGAGAAGACCGAUUUUGGUGGAAAGUGGGUCAGAAGAGCAUGUGCAACUCAAGGAUUGCUGAGGAUGAACAAGUGCAUAGGGUAAAGUUGCUUCAUCAUGAAAGGUUGUGUGGUACUUCCACUCUCCUUGAUUCCACCUUGGAAACACUGGCUACUACUUCAUAAAGAACUGGAAGGGAAGAAAGUGAUAAUGUGGAAAAGUGCCAAAACUCAGUCUGAUUUUUCCUGGCAGCUUUCCCUUGGUGUCAUUGAACUUGUGUUGGAAUAAAAGACUCCAUUCCAGAUCCA